GCAGACCCUGUAUAUAACCCUAAGCAUCCUACCUGAAAUAAUAUACCUGAAAAACAUCAUCUCCAUUCUCGAUUCUUUAAUUAUAAAUAUUUCUUAAUUUAAAUCUUUUCAGAGCUGACAAAAGCAAACAGAUUGAUAGUAUCAAGAGUUGAAGGAAAUAAAAGUGAAGCUUGCUUACAAUGGCAGCUUAUCGCAUGUGGCGCGUAACAUGAGAUAUGCCUUCUAUCAAGAUGAGAUAUCUUAUAGAGUACAUCAAGCAUAGAUUUCGAUAUGCAAGGCUCUCUUUAUUUAGAUUCAAUUGUGACAUACACACAGUGGCGAAAAGAUUAAUGCUAAAGAAUUGGUGUUGCUUCAUUUAGAAUAGAUAGUGAACGUGUGGUGUAAAGCUUACCAAGAGAAGCCUCCAAACAUCAGGCCGGAUAUAAGGUGGUACACCACUCCAAGCUAACUCACGAAGUUUCUCUAUACAGUAAAUCAUAGGAAGGAGAAUUAGGUCGAAUUAAAUGCUGAAAACUGCACCAAAACUCCAAAAGAAAAACAGAAAGAUCAAUAUAUACCAAGAAGUCCUAUAGGGUUAAAUGAUGGAGUCUAAGAGACCUUCAAUCUAGAU
rnacentral:lncRNA from 1 species